rnacentral:rRNA from 1 species
CCUACGGGUGGCAGCAGUGGGGAAUCUUGGUCAAUGGCCGUAAGGCUGAACCAGCCAAGUAGCGUGAGUGAAGACUGCCCUAUGGGUUGUAAACCCCUUUUAUGCGGGGAUAAAGGUGUCCACGUGUGGAUGUUUGCAUGUACCGCAUGAAUAAGGACCGGCUAAUUUCGUUCCAGCAGCCGCGGUAAUACGGAAGGUCCGUGCGUUAUCCGGAUUUAUUGGGUUUAAAGGGAGCGUAGGCCGGUCUUUAAGCGUGCCGUGAUAUUUUGGCUCAACCAUUGGAGUGCGGCGCGAACUGGAGACCUUGAGUGCGCGGAAGGCAGGCGGAAUUCGUGGUGUAGCGGUGAAAUGCGUAGAUAUCACGAAGAACCCCGAUUGCGAAGGCAGCCUGCCGCAGCGUUACUGACGCUGAAGCUCGAAAGCGCGGGUAUCGAACAGGAUUAGAUACCCCUGUAGUC